GCAACGUGCAGGAUUGACCCAGAAUGACCUUAAAUUCUCACUGCCUAAAGAUUGGGCUGUCUGGGAGGGGCCCAACCACCUUGUCCCUGCAGGAGCAAAAUUGGUCACAAAGAGAACAGAAGCCUGGAUUUAACUCCAUCUCACAUAACUUGAUGAGGCUCAUAUUCUCAAGAAGAAAAAGGAAGGAUGGAAGGGAAGAAGAGAAAAGCGAAAAGGAAGAAAGACGGGGAGAGAAAGAAGAGGGGAGGGAGGGAGAGGGAGAAGAAAAGAACAAAAGGAAAGGAAAGGAAAGAAAAAAUCCUGCAAGCAAAUUUUCAUCUCUUUGAAUUUUAUCUUAUUUCAAUCAGUACUGGAAACUUUUGGAAUUGUGUUAGCAUAAGAAUAUAAUUCUCUGAAAUACCAG
rnacentral:lncRNA from 1 species